CAGCAGCCACGGUAAUACGGAGGGUGCGAGCGUUAAUCGGAAUUACUGGGCGUAAAGCGUGCGCAGGCGGUUCGUUAAGACAGAUGUGAAAUCCCCGGGCUUAACCUGGGAACUGCACUUGUGACUGGCGAGCUAGAGUAUGGCAGAGGGGGGUAGAACUCCACGUGUAGCAGUGAAAUGCGUAGAGAUGUGGAGGAAUACCGGUGGCGAAGGCAGCCCCCUGGGCCAAUACUGACGCUCAUGCACGAAAGCGUGGGGAGCAAACAGGAUUAGAUACCCCGGUAGUCCCUGUCUCUUAUAC
rnacentral:rRNA from 1 species